rnacentral:lncRNA from 1 species
AUAUAUAUAUUUAUUUUUUAACUUUCUUUUCAAUUAAAUAUGUUUUAUAAUUUAACUUAUUUUGUAUUUUUUUUUAUAUUUACAAUGUAUUUCAUGAUUUUUUUUUCUCUCAGAAUUUCAUAAAUUGGAUAUCCCAUUCAUGACAAUAUUGCACAUUUAUAUUUCCUGCCAUCAAUCUGUGAUUUGAUAGUCACAAACAAUGACUAACUUAAUUGACUAUCACAUAUACAAUGUACUUGAAUUGUAUUCUUAAAGUAAUUGAUACUAUAAUUUAUUGUAAAAAUGUAUAUAUGAGCGGGGAUAGGACCUUUAUCGGGACUCCGGGAUCGGGUGUUUUUAAGCUCGGGAUUUCGGGAUUGACCCUUUCGUGAUCCGGGAAUUCAUUUUUCGAAUUUUGGGACCUUUCGGGAAUUCAUGUUUUUUAAGCCCGGGAUUUCGGUAUUUCGUGUUUUUAAGCUCAGGAUUUCGGGAUCAGGACCCCUCCUACCCUCCCUCAUAUAUGUUAUAAUUGACUGAACUUAGAUAUUUAUGGUGAUAAUGACUUCACAUUCCAUUUUAAAUAUAUUAUUUAUACUUAAGGCACAUGUUGAAGUGAAGAUACCUUUGUAAGGGGAGAUAUUUUUUUGUUAAUUGAGGUUGAUAAACUUUGGUAAGGGGAGAUAAUUGUUCAAAUCAUAAAUGACUGGGAUAGACUUUGGUAAGAGCCUAAGGGGAGAUAUUUUUUGUUAAUUGAGGUUGAUAAAUUUUGGUAAGGGGAGAUCAUUUUUCAAAUCAUAAAUGACGGGGUUAGACUUUGGUAAGAGCCUAAGGGGAGAUAUUUUUUGUUAAUUAAGGUUGAUAAACUUUGGUAAGGGGAGAUAAUUUUUCAAAUCAUAAAUGACGGGGAUAGACUUUGGUAAGAGCCUAAGGGGAGAUAUUUUUGUUAAUUAAGGUUGAUAAACUUUGGUAAGGGGAGAUAAUUUUUCAAAUCAUAAAUGACGGGGAUAGACUUUGGUAAGAGCCUAAGGGGAGAUAUUUUUUGUUAAUGAAGGUUGAUAAACUUUGGUAAGGGGAGAUAAUUUUUCAAAUAAUAAAUGAAUGGGAUAGACUUUGGUAAGAGCCUAAGGGGAGAUAGUUUUGUUAAUGAAGGAUGAUAAACUUUGGUAAGGGGAGAUAAUUUUUCAAAUCAUAAAUGACGGGGAUAGAUUUUGAUAAGAGCGUAAGGUGAGAUAUUUUUGUUAAUGAAGGUUGAUAGACUUUGGUAAGGGGAGAUAAUUUUUCAACUCAUAAAUGACGGAGAUAGACUUUGGUAAGGGGAGAUAAUUUUUCAAAUCAUAAAUGACGGGGAUAGACUUUAGUAAGAGCCUAAGGGGAGAUAUUUUUGUUAAUGAAGGUGGACAGACUUUGGUAAGGGGAGAUAAUUUUUCAAAUCAUAAAUGACGGGGAUAGACUUUAGUAAGAGCCUAAGGGAAGAUAUUUUUGUUAAUGAAGGUGGACAGACUUUGGUAAGAGGUGAUAAUUUUUUAAUGAAGGAGAAUAAACUUUGGUAAGGCGAGAUGAUUAAGGGGGAGAUAAUUCUUUUAAUUACAACUGGUGUUUUUAAAGUUGUGUCCCCUUUAAUGAAAAAAAAACACAGAUUUGAUAGUUACAUUAAUGGAAAAAAAUGAGACUUACAC